AAACAUUUCUGGGGGGAAAUAUUUUUGGUGUAACCUGCUCUAUGCAUGGUGAAUAGCUGCAGUAUUUUGACUGUACAAAGGUAGCAUAAUCAUUAGUCUUUUGAUUGGAGGCUUGUAUGAAUGGUUGCAUGUAAGAUUUUUGUAAGUAUGUUAAAUUAAUUUUUAAGUUAAAAAGCUUAACUAUUAAAAAGGGACAAGAAGACCCUAUAGAGUUUAAAAGAGAGGAAUUUUUGUUGGGGCGACAAAAUUUAACUUUUUCUCAGAUGAAUGAUUAGUGAUCUUAUAGAACUAAGUUUUAAUUACCUUAGGGAUAACAGCAUAAUUUUUCUUUUAAGAACAAAUUUAUAGAAAAGUUUAUGACCUCGAUGUUGAAUUAAUUAUGAUUAAAUGUAGGUGUUAAUUA
rnacentral:rRNA from 1 species